AUUUAUCUGCCGAGUUUGCCUUUCGGCAAACGUCGCAUUAUUAUAUGUGCUUUUUCACUUCGUUGCAAAAGCACGGAAAAAACUUUUUUCGGAAGCUGAGGCUUCCUGCAAAAAGUUUUUAUGGGA
rfam:Treponema denticola ATCC 35405, complete genome.